rnacentral:rRNA from 1 species
ACGCUCGUCUCAAAGAUUAAGCCAUGCACGUCUAAGUACUCGCCUUGUCUAUAAAGUGAAACCGCGAAUGGCUCAUUAAAUCAGUUAUGGUUCACUAGACAGUACCUCAUCCUACUCGGAUAACUGUGGUAAUUCUAGAGCUAAUACAUGCAACUAGGCCCCGCCCGGCGUGCCGUCUCCGUACGGUACGACGGAAAGGGCGCCAUUAUCAGCCCAAAACCGACCGGGUCGCUUCCCCCCUUUCUUCCUUUAUGGCGAAAAGGGGGAGCUCCCGUCCUUAUUCCCUUUGACGACUCUGGAUAACCUGUCAGCGGAUCGCUGGGUAAACGGGUCGCCGGGGGUCCUCCGCGGUCCCCGGCCGGCCUACAGCGACCGGUCUUUCAAAUGUCUGCCUUAUCAACUGUCGACGGUAGGUUAGACGCCUACCGUGGUCGUAACGGGUGACGGGGAAUCAGGGUUCGAUUCCGGAGAGGGAGCCUGAGAAACGGCUACCACAUCCAAGGAAGGCAGCAGGCACGCAAAUUACCCAAUCCCAGCACUGGGAGGUAGUGACGAAAAAUAACGAUACGGGACUCUUAACGAGGCCUCGUAAUCGGAAUGAGUCCGCUCUAAAUCCUUUAACGAGGAUCUAUCGGAGGGCAAGUCUGGUGCCAGCAGCCGCGGUAAUUCCAGCUCCGAUAGCGUAUAUUAAAGUUGCUGCGGUUAAAAAGCUCGUAGUUGGAUUUGGGUUUUCGGGCCGGCGGGCCGCCGCCUUCGAGCGGCGCGUCUCCCGCCGCGCCCCCGGAACCGCACGGUCGCAGAGGCCCCCGCGGUGCUCUUGAGUGAGUGUCCGCGGUCUCGGGUCGCCGAACGUUUACUUUGAAAAAAUUAGAGUGCUCCAGGCAGGCCGGUAAAGCGUUUUUAAACCCGCGCCUGAAUAGUCACGCAUGGAAUAAUGAAAGAGGACCGGCGGUCCUAUUUUGUUGGUUUUAAGGAUUUUCCGCCGUCAUGAUUAAGAGGGACGGCCGGGGGCAUUCGUACCGCGGCGCGAGAGGUGAAAUUCUAGGACCGUCGCGAGACGAACCGUUGCGAAAGCAUUUGCCAAGAAUGUUUUCCUUAAUCAAGAACGAAAGUCAGAGGUUCGAAGGCGAUCAGAUACCGCCCUAGUUCUGACCGUAAACGAUGCCACCUGACGAUCCGCCAGGGUUACUACCAUGACUCGGCGGGCAGUCCCCGGGAAACCCAAGCCUUCGGGUUCCGGGGGAAGUAUGGUUGCAAAGCUGAAACUUAAAGGAAUUGACGGAAGGGCACCACCAGGAGUGGAGCCUGCGGCUUAAUUUGACCCAACACGGGGAACCUCACCCGGCCCGGACACCGCGAGGAUUGACAGAUUGAGAGCUCUUUCUCGAUUCGGUGGGUGGUGGUGCAUGGCCGUUCUUAGUUGGUGGAGCGAUUUGUCUGGUUAAUUCCGAUAACGAACGAGACUCUAGCCGGUUAAGUAGCCCGAGCGGUUUUUGAUCUUUGCCGUCCAUCCUCGUCCCGACCUUCCGCGCUUUCCUUUUCGUUUUCGCCCCGUUCUUCUUUCUUUUUCUUUU